rnacentral:rRNA from 1 species
CGGACGCUGGCGGCGUGCUUACCACAUGCAAGUCGAACGGAAAGGCCCUGCUUUUGUGGGGUGCUCGAGUGGCGAACGGGUGAGUAACACGUGAGUAACCUGCCCUUGACUUUGGGAUAACUUCAGGAAACUGGGGCUAAUACCGGAUAGGAGCUCCUGCUGCAUGGUGGGGGUUGGAAAGUUUCGGCGGUUGGGGAUGGACUCGCGGCUUAUCAGCUUGUUGGUGGGGUAGUGGCUUACCAAGGCUUUGACGGGUAGCCGGCCUGAGAGGGUGACCGGCCACAUUGGGACUGAGAUACGGCCCAGACUCCUACGGGAGGCAGCAGUGGGGAAUAUUGCACAAUGGGCGGAAGCCUGAUGCAGCAACGCCGCGUGCGGGAUGACGGCCUUCGGGUUGUAAACCGCUUUCGCCUGUGACGAAGCGUGAGUGACGGUAAUGGGUAAAGAAGCACCGGCUAACUACGUG